ensembl:snRNA U4 U4 spliceosomal RNA
AGCCUUGCGCAGUGGCGGCAUCAUAGCCAAUGAGGUUUAUCUGAGGCAUGAUUAUUGCUAAUUCAAAGCUUUUCCCAACACCCUGUCGUGAUGACCUGUAGUAUAGUUGGCACUGGCAAUUUUUGACGGUCUCUACAAAAGACUGAAUGUUGAAAAAAGAGA